rnacentral:rRNA from 1 species
UUCAAUGAGAGUUUGAUCAUAGCUCAGGAUGAACGUUGGCUGUGUGCCUAAGGUAUGCAAGUCGAACGAUCCUAUUUUGAAUUCUAAAGACUUCGGUCGAUAGUUUUCUGUUUAGGGUAGUGGCAAACGGGUGAGUAAUAUAUAGAUAACUUGCCUUGAAGUCGGGAAUAGCUCGUCGAAAGACGGGGUAAUAUCCGAUGGUCUCUAUUCACUUCGUGUGUUUUAGAGUAAAGUUUUUCGCUUCAAGAGAGGUCUGUAUCCUAUCAGCUAGUUGGUGAGGUAAUGGCUCACCAAGGCUAAGACGGGUAGCUGGUGUGAGAGCACGGUCAGCCACCGCGGAACUGAGACACGGUCCGCACUCCUACGGGAGGCAGCAAUUAGGAAUCUUGCGCAAUGGGGGCAACCCUGACGC